rnacentral:rRNA from 1 species
AGUGAACGCUGGCGGUAGGCCUAACACAUGCAAGUCGAACGGCAGCACAGUAAGAGCUUGCUCUUACGGGUGGCGAGUGGCGGACGGGUGAGGAAUACAUCGGAAUCUACUUUUUCGUGGGGGAUAACGUAGGGAAACUUACGCUAAUACCGCAUACGACCUACGGGUGAAAGCAGGGGAUCUUCGGACCUUGCGCGAUUGAAUGAGCCGAUGUCGGAUUAGCUAGUUGGCGGGGUAAAGGCCCACCAAGGCGACGAUCCGUAGCUGGUCUGAGAGGAUGUAACGCAACCGUGAAACUGAGCCACGGUCCAGACACUGAGGGAAGGACGAGGGGGGGAAUUGUGGCAACGGGGGGGAAGCUUGACCAAGCAAUCCCGGGGGGGGGAAGAAGGCCUUCGGGUUGGAAGGCCCUUUUGUUGGGAAAAAAAGCCGGCAGUUUAAACCCCGGUUGUUUGAAGGGAACCAAAAAAAAAGCACCGGGCAAAUUCGUG